GGAGAGGUGGCAGAGUGGUCGCAAUGUACCUGACUCGAAAUCGGGCGGGUUACCCCGCAACGGGGGUUCGAAUCCCUCCCUCUCCUCCA
rnacentral:tRNA from 1 species